rnacentral:rRNA from 1 species
GGGUUCUCCUGACCGAGUUGUAAUUUGAAGAAGCGUUUUCCGCGCCGUUUGAUCAGCCCAAGUCUUAUUGAAUGAGGCAUCAUGGAGGGUGAUAAUCCCGUUCGGUUGAUCAAUUGUGCUUUACGAUACGCUUUCAAAGAGUCAAGUUGUUUGGGAUUGCAGCUUAAAAUGGGAGGUAAAUUUCUCCUAAGGCUGAAUAACGGCGAGAGACCGAUAGCGAACAAGUACCGUGAGGGAAAGAUGAAAAGAACUUUGAAAAGAGAGUUAAAUAGUACGUGAAAUUGUUGAGAGGGAAACGAUUGAAGCCAGUCGUACCUGCGGGUAAUCAGCCUUUUGGGCAUGAUUCUGUGGAGCGUGAGGAGUUAAACGCCUUCAUGCCUGCAUAUUCGUGUACUUUGGGUGUACUUGCCUGUGUGGUUAGUUAACAUCAAUUUUGGUUAUCAUAAAAUGGUCGGAGGAAUGUAGCUUCGAUUUCGAUUGAAGUGUUAUAGCCUUCGGCAGAUGUGAUAAUCGGGAUUGAGGAUUGCAACGGAUACCCUUCGGGGCUAACUGUCUGGUCUCUGAUCGUUGCUCUGGUGCCGAAAGCGUGCUUACGGUUAUCAAAGUCGAUGGU